rnacentral:lncRNA from 1 species
ACUGAGCUCCCCUAGGUCCCCCGAGACUGACUGGGGGCGGCCUCCUGGAGGCGACAAAGACCUCGCCAGCCCUCACUUAGGUCUUGGGUCUCCGAGGGUCUCCCGGGCUUCCAGCCCUGAGGGUCGCCACCUCCCUUCCCCACAGCUAGGAACCAAGGUAAGCUGUAGGUCCAUCCUGUAAUCCUUGCAUCUGACCAUCAGGGACCCCCACACUUCUGGGAAACAGCUAGGAGUAGAGCGUUCUAAGGCCAUACUCAGAGCAGAGAGAGCACUGCUUGUUAAGAGCAUUGAGAUUGAUUUUUGUCUCUGUCGCUUCUAAGCUGUGUGACUUUGGGUCAGUUAUUAAACCUCUCUGUGCCUUCAUUUUUUCUUCUCUAAAAUGGGGC